rfam:Pteropus alecto contig27957, whole genome shotgun sequence.
GCAGUGCCUUAGCAGCACGUAAAUAUUGGCGUUAAGAUUUUUAAAUUAUCUCCAGUAUUAACUGUGCUGCUGAAGUAAGGU